rnacentral:misc_RNA from 1 species
UUCACAAUGUAAGUCAUUCUAGCAUUUCCCACAUUCAUAUUGAUGCUAAUGAAUCUAGACAUAUAUACCUAUCUAGAUUCAUUAGUAUCAAUAUGAAUGUGGAAAAUGCUAGAAUGACUUAUAUUGUGAA